rnacentral:rRNA from 1 species
UACGUAGGGUGCGAGCGUUAAUCGGAAUACUGGGCGUAAAGCGUGCGCAGGCGGUGAUGUAAGACAGUUGUGAAAUCCCCGGGCUCAACCUGGGAAUUGCAUCUGUGACUGCAUCGCUAGAGUACGGUAGAGGGGGAUGGAAUUCCGCGUGUAGCAGUGAAAUGCGUAGAUAUGCGGAGGAAUACCGAUGGCGAAGGCAGCCCCCUGGGAUAACACUGACGCUCAUGCACGAAAGCGUGGGGAGCAAACAGG